GACGAACGCUGGCGGCGUGCUUAACACAUGCCAGUCGAACGGUGAAGCGCCUUCCUUUUUGGUGGGUGUGGAUGAGUGGCGAACGGGUGAGUAACACGUGAGUAACCUGCCCCCUUCUUCUGGAUAACCGCAUGAAAGUGUGGCUAAUACGGGAUAUUCUGGGUCUGUCGCAUGAUGGGUCUGGGAAAGAUAUUGUUUCGGUGGGGGAUGGGCUCGCGGCCUAUCAGCUUGUUGGUGGGGUGAUGGCCUACCAAGGCGGUGACGGGUAGCCGGCCUGAGAGGGUGGACGGUCACACUGGGACUGAGACACGGCCCAGACUCCUACGGGAGGCAGCAGUGGGGAAUAGUGCACAAUGGGCGCAAGCCUGAUGCAGCGACGCCGCGUGAGGGAUGGAGGCCUUCGGGUUGUGAACCUCUUUCGCCAGUGAAGCAGGCCUGCCUCGUUUGUGGGUGGGUUGACGGUAGCUGGAUAAGAAGCGCCGGCUAACUACGUG
rnacentral:rRNA from 1 species